rfam:Pseudomonas sp. G5(2012) strain G5 PG5_39, whole genome shotgun sequence.
CUUCUUCUAUCUGCUGCGGGCAGAUGAAGUGGAUGUGGGUGUCGAUGCCGCCAGCGGUAAGGAUCAUGCCUUCACCGGCAAUGACUUCGGUGCUGGCACCGAUGGCGAUAGUCACGUUGGGUUGCACGUCCGGGUUGCCAGCCUUGCCGAUGGCUGCAAUGCGACCGUCCUUGAGGCCGACAUCGGCCUUGACGAUGCCCCAGUGGUCGAUGAUCAGCGCAUUGGUGAUCAGGGUGUCGACGACCUCGGCGGCGAGCAGCUGGCUCUGGCCUUGACCAUCGCGGAU